UACGUAGGGUGCGAGCGUUGUCCGGAAUUAUUGGGCGUAAAGCGCUCGCAGGUGGUUCGUCGCGUCGUGCGUGAAAGACCCCGGCUCAACUGGGGGAGGUCGUGCGAUACGGGCGAACUGGAGGCCAGUAGGGGGAUGCGGAAUUCCGGGUGUAGUGGUGGAAUGCGUAGAGAUCCGGAGGAACACCAGCGGCGAAGGCGGCAUCCUGGACUGGUCCUGACACUCAUGAGCGAAAGCGUGGGGAGCGAUCCGG
rnacentral:rRNA from 1 species